UUCUCUAAUGACUCAAAAGAGAGUCAUCCGUUUUGUUUUCAACAAUGUAUUCCAUUUAGCAAGACAAGUGUGUUACUGGUUUGGUCCAAAUGUCCCAGGUGGCUGUGGGAAGAAGGCCUGGUGGCCGAGACCGGGCUGCCGAGGCCUUAGCACCACGACGGGCCCACGGAAGAUGGGAGCCACACACGCCACGCUGCAGUCUGAAAAAUACUUCUUGAGGGCGGUCUCAGACUGGUGUCAACUCAUCGCAGAACUAGAUUUAAAUGUACACCUUAAAUCUUUGUUGAUCUGCAUGGGAGGAGAAGGGUUCUGUGAGUCUGGUGUAUGUUCCCGUAGUUGCAUCUAUAGUGUAAGAUUGCAGGACAUUAUGAAUGGUUCACUGCACAUCUAGAGAGCCUUACUGAAACAUUGUUUUAUCAAUUUUUUAAGGAUUUGUAUAAGCAUCCCUUUAAUCAGGAUACACACGGGGUCCGUCACAUGUUUUAUUCUUUAUCUAGUGGUUAUGCUAUAGGGACUAUUGACUCCUUUCAUUACCAAACCAGUACAUUUAUUAACAUGCUGCAGAGAUGGAUCCUGAAGGGGAGGGAUCAGGCCAUGUUUAACUGUCAGUAUUUCAUAUUUAUUCACAUUGUAAGAAAGUAAGCAAAGGACAUCUCAUUCAGGCACAGUUGAUCGUCCCUGUCAAUCUUUUCAAAUUUUCCAAGAAGGUGGUUGACAUUGAGGUCAGUUUUUAAUGAGUAGAGAGGAGGUUGACUUGAAGGCAACCUCACCUCACACCAGGUAAAGUGUCGACAGAUGGGAAGGGAUCAAUGCUCUGUUAUGCUAUGGUUCAACUUGUUUGUCAUCCAUGUUGAGUUGCUCUUAACAGAUAAUGUUCUUGGUUGAGUGAAUAGAGCUCACUCUCUUUGUUCGAUGCCAGAGCUGGACCUACUUGGGUUGGCAAAGGUUUCAGUUUCUUUUAUCACAAACAUAAUGUCUAUGAUCUUCAGGAGGCAUAAUGUUUGUAAUGAGUUUCAUAAAACAGUGAUUAUUCUACAUGCAAUUGACAGAUAUUUUACUAUCUCGAUGGACACACCAUCCCAGUCUUGGAAGUUUUGAGAGAAACAAAAUGAACUAGCCAGGAUCGUUUCACAAGGCUAGCGGUCUGGUAUAGUUCAUAGCUCAUUGGUGUUCAAAUCCCUUUGACUGAAGUGACUUCAGUGCAAUCAUCAGAUUAAAUGUCAUUAGACUUAACUGAAGAUCUUGCAUGAAAUGCCUCCCAACAUUUUUGUCACUGUUUAUAUUUAUAAGAUAGCUAGUGCAUUCAAGACAAUCUGGAGGUUUAGGUAUGCCUGGGUACUGUGUACCCAGCCUGGGUUACUGUAUCCAGAUUGGGUUCUGUGUACAAACCAUGGGUUCUGUGUAUCCAGCCCGGGUUACUGUAACCAGCCAGGGUUAUGUGUACCAAGCCCGGGUUACUGUACCCAGCGUGGGUUACUUGUACCAGUCUGCAUACUGUGUACUCAAGCCUGGGUUAUAUGUACCCCGCCAUUCUGCUCCUUGGCUCAAUGGUUUUUCCUCCCUUAGGAAUAAAAGGUUGUGCUCCCAGAAUAUAAAAUGAAAGGAAUAUUGCAUUGUUCUGUGAUUGUAACUGAGAAGUAAUUUUAUGAUGGAGACCAACUAUCUACUGUAAAUGAUUAAGCGGGAAGUAUAUAUCAUUAAAUCGGGUUCAUCAAGUGCCUAAAAAAAUGUAUACAUUUUAAUAAAAAAAGUUUUAUAAUUUUAUAAACCAUCACAUGUUUGCUUUGAGCAAAUCUGUAUUUUAAUUUAAAAUAUAUGCAGACAUUUAUCCUUUUGGAUUUGUUGAGUAUACUACUAUUGUCACUUAGCUUUCUUCAGUUCCCUCACAUGUACCUUAUGAUCGUUCAAAGUGUUUAUCGUAGAGGAGUUGGAUGUACUGUAUACACUGUAAGGAAAUCAAAGCUGUAUUUUUUUUUGCCAAACAAAUAAAUACUUAUCAGUAGAAUCCUUGGCAGUAUGUUUAUUUAAAUGUCCGCACAUCAGACCAGGGUCUCAUUUAUAGAACUGCGUGGGAUCGUUACAAAAAGUGUACGUACGCCCAAAAGCCAAG
ensembl:lncRNA